CCUACGGGUGGCAGCAGUGAGGAAUAUUGGUCAAUGGCCGCAGGUCUGAACCAGCCAAGUCGCGUGAGGGAUGACUGUCCUAUGGGUUGUAAACCUCUUUUGUCAAGGAGUAAAAGGCGCCACGUGUGGCUCUUUGCAUGUACCUUAAGAAUAAGCAUCGGCUAACUCCGUGCCAGCAGCCGCGGUAAUACGGAGGAUCCGAGCGUUAUCCGGUUUUAUUGGGUUUAAAGGGUGCGUAGGAGGGAUGUUAAGUCAGCGGGAAAAUUUCGGGGCUAAACCGCGACGUGCCGUUGAAACUGGCGUUCUUGAGUGCGCGAGAGGUAUGCGGAAUGCGUGGUGUAGCGGUGAAAUGCAUAGAUAUCACGCAGAACUCCGAUUGCGAAGACAGCAUACCGGCGCUCAACUGACGCUGAUGCACGAAAGCGUGGGUAUCGAACAGGAUUAGAUACCCGGGUAGUC
rnacentral:rRNA from 1 species